rnacentral:lncRNA from 10 species
UGGUGUGCAGUGGCUCAAUCAUAGCUCACUGCAGCUGCCAACUCCUGGGUGUAAGUCAUUCUCCCGCCUCAGCCUCCAGAGAAGCUGGGACUACAGGCACGCAGCACCAUGCCUAGCUAAUUAACUGUGGCCCGGGAGCAAAGUGGUUUCUCUCCCCUCUGAAUCCAUCCAUGUUCCUGCAAAGGACAUGAUCUUGUUUUUUCAUGGCUGCACAGUA